AUUGAACGCUGGCGGCAGGCCUAACACAUGCAAGUCGAGCGGUAGAGAGAAGCUUGCUUCUCUUGAGAGCGGCGGACGGGUGAGUAAUGCCUAGGAAUCUGCCUGGUAGUGGGGGAUAACGUUCGGAAACGGACGCUAAUACCGCAUACGUCCUACGGGAGAAAGCAGGGGACCUUCGGGCCUUGCGCUAUCAGAUGAGCCUAGGUCGGAUUAGCUAGUUGGUGAGGUAAUGGCUCACCAAGGCGACGAUCCGUAACUGGUCUGAGAGGAUGAUCAGUCACACUGGAACUGAGACACGGUCCAGACUCCUACGGGAGGCAGCAGUGGGGAAUAUUGGACAAUGGGCGAAAGCCUGAUCCAGCCAUGCCGCGUGUGUGAAGAAGGUCUUCGGAUUGUAAAGCACUUUAAGUUGGGAGGAAGGGUUGUAGAUUAAUACUCUGCAAUUUUGACGUUACCGACAGAAUAAGCACCGGCUAACUCUGUGCCAGCAGCCGCGGUAAUACAGAGGGUGCAAGCGUUAAUCGGAAUUACUGGGCGUAAAGCGCGCGUAGGUGGUUUGUUAAGUUGGAUGUGAAAUCCCCGGGCUCAACCUGGGAACUGCAUUCAAAACUGACUGACUAGAGUAUGGUAGAGGGUGGUGGAAUUUCCUGUGUAGCGGUGAAAUGCGUAGAUAUAGGAAGGAACACCAGUGGCGAAGGCGACCACCUGGACUAAUACUGACACUGAGGUGCGAAAGCGUGGGGAGCAAACAGGAUUAGAUACCCUGGUAGUCCACGCCGUAAACGAUGUCAACUAGCCGUUGGAAGCCUUGAGCUUUUAGUGGCGCAGCUAACGCAUUAAGUUGACCGCCUGGGGAGUACGGCCGCAAGGUUAAAACUCAAAUGAAUUGACGGGGGCCCGCACAAGCGGUGAAGCAUGUGGUUUAAUUCGAAGCAACGCGAAGAACCUUACCAGGCCUUGACAUCCAAUGAACUUUCUAGAGAUAGAUUGGUGCCUUCGGGAACAUUGAGACAGGCGCUGCAUGGCUGUCGUCAGCUCGUGUCGUGAGAUGUUGGGUUAAGUCCCGUAACGAGCGCAACCCUUGUCCUUAGUUACCAGCACGUCAUGGUGGGCACUCUAAGGAGACUGCCGGUGACAAACCGGAGGAAGGUGGGGAUGACGUCAAGUCAUCAUGGCCCUUACGGCCUGGGCUACACACGUGCUACAAUGGUCGGUACAGAGGGUUGCCAAGCCGCGAGGUGGAGCUAAUCCCAUAAAACCGAUCGUAGUCCGGAUCGCAGUCUGCAACUCGACUGCGUGAAGUCGGAAUCGCUAGUAAUCGCGAAUCAGAAUGUCGCGGUGAAUACGUUCCCGGGCCU
rnacentral:rRNA from 1 species